rnacentral:misc_RNA from 1 species
GAUGAAGAACGUAGCGAAAUGCGAUAAGUAGUGUGAAUUGCAGAAUUCAGUGAAUCAUCGAAUCUUUGAACGCACAUUGCGCCCCUUGGUAUUCCAUGGGGCAUGCCUGUUCGAGCGUCAUCUACAACCCUCAAGCCCUGCUUGGUGUUGGGCGUCUGUCCCGCCCCCGCGCGCGGACUCGCCCCAAAUCCAUUGGCGGCGGCCCUUGCCUCCCUCUCGCGCAGCACAUUGCGCUUCUCGAGGCGUCGCGGGCCGCGCUCCACGAAGCACGCAAACCAGUCUUUGACCUCGGAUCAGGUAGGGAUACCCGCUGAACUUAAGCAUAUCAAUAACGGAGGA